rnacentral:lncRNA from 1 species
UUAGCCAUGCAGGAACAAUGGCAAGCCUUUUACCGGAUCGGGAGCGGCAAUGGGUGCCUCACUGGAUCAGGAGCACAGGGGACACCCUGCUGGAUCCGGAGGGAUGGAAGUCAGCGGCAGGUCUGUGAUGGCAGCCAACAGCAGUGGUGGACGGCGAGCGAAAGCUCAGCUCGAGAGAUAGUUUGCCUAUAUUGGUAAAUGUUUCCAUCAAAUGAAGAGUGGAAUAUUAGUAGUGUUUACAUCAAAUGAAGAGUGGAUCUAAAGUUUAAACAUGAAGAUUUCAUCCGGCUAUGAA